CUGGGGAAUGGUUAGGAACACAGACUGGGGAAGGUAGAGAACACCAGCUGGGGGAAUGGUGGUAGAGACAACACAGACUGGGGAAUGGUAGAGAACACAGAUAGGGGUAUGGUACAGAACACAGACUAAUGGGAAUGGACAGAACACAGACUGGGGAAUGGUACAGAACACAGACUUGGGAAUGGUAGAGAACACAGACUGGGGAAUGUACAGAAACACAGACUGGGGAAUGGAAGACACAGACUGGGAAUGGUAGAGAACACAGACC
rnacentral:lncRNA from 1 species